rnacentral:rRNA from 1 species
CCCUUAGAUGUUCUGGGCCGCACGCGUGCUACACUGAGUGGAUCAGCGGGUCAGGUUGCGCGAAAGUGUUUCCUAAUCUUGAAAUCCGCUCGUGAUGGGGAUUGACGGUUGCAAUUUUCCGUCAUGAACGAGGAAUACCUUGUAAGCGCGGGUCAUCAUCCCGCGCUGAAUACGUCCCUGCCCUUUGUACACACCGCCCGUCGCACCUACCGAUUGAAUGGUCCGGUGAAAUCUUCGGAUUGAGACUUUGAUUUCUUCACGGAAAACGCUGUUUUAAGAAGUUGAUUAAACCUUACCAUUUAGAGGAAGGUGAAGUCGUAACA